AAGUCGUAACAAGGUUUCCGUAGGUGAACCUGCGGAAGGAUCAUCAUUGUUUGGGGGCUUGCUCCAUUUUUUUUGAAUCCCAGCAAAAACAGACAGCAGCUCGGGAUGGCUGAGGUGCGCAGGCAAAUGAGAGACAGGCAGAAACAACUUUCAACAACGGAUCACUUGGCUCUCA
rnacentral:misc_RNA from 1 species